rnacentral:rRNA from 1 species
UAUCCGGAUUUAUUGGGCGUAAAGGGCUCGUAGGCGGCUCGUCGCGUCCGGUGUGAAAGUCCAUCGCUUAACGGUGGAUCUGCGCCGGGUACGGGCGGGCUGGAGUGCGGUAGGGGAGACUGGAAUUCCCGGUGUAACGGUGGAAUGUGUAGAUAUCGGGAAGAACACCGAUGGCGAAGGCAGGUCUCUGGGCCGUCACUGACGCUGAGGAGCGAAAGCGUGGGGAGCGAACAGGAUUAGAUACCCUGGUAGUCCACGCCGUAAACGGUGGACGCUGGAUGUGGGGCACGUUCCACGUGUUCCGUGUCGGAGCUAACGCGUUAAGCGUCCCGCCUGGGGAGUACGGCCGCAAGGCUAAAACUCAAAGAAAUUGACGGGGGCCCGCACAAGCGGCGGAGCAUGCGGAUUAAUUCGAUGCAACGCGAAGAACCUUACCUGGGCUUGACAUGUUCCCGACGACGCCAGAGAUGGCGUUUCCCUUCGGGGCGGGUUCACAGGUGGUGCAUGGUCGUCGUCAGCUCGUGUCGUGAGAUGUUGGGUUAAGUCCCGCAACGAGCGCAACCCUCGCCCCGUGUUGCCAGCACGUUAUGGUGGGAACUCACGGGGGACCGCCGGGGUUAACUCGGAGGAAGGUGGGGAUGACGUC